CUACGUGCCAGCAGCCGCGGUAAUACGGAGGGUGCGAGCGUUAAUCGGAAUAACUGGGCGUAAAGGGCACGCAGGCGGUGACUUAAGUGAGGUGUGAAAGCCCCGGGCUUAACCUGGGAAUUGCAUUUCAUACUGGGUCGCUAGAGUACUUUAGGGAGGGGUAGAAUUCCACGUGUAGCGGUGAAAUGCGUAGAGAUGUGGAGGAAUACCGAAGGCGAAGGCAGCCCCUUGGGAAUGUACUGACGCUCAUGUGCGAAAGCGUGGGGAGCAAACAGGAUUAGAUACCCUGGUAGUCCACGCUGUAAACGAUGUCGAUUUGGGGGUUGAGCUUUGAGCUUGGCGCCCGUAGCUAACGUGAUAAAUUGACCGCCUGGGGAGUACGGCCGCAAGGUUAAAACUCAAAUGAAUUGACGGGGGCCCGCACAAGCGGUGGAGCAUGUGGUUUAAUUCGAUGCAACGCGAAGAACCUUACCUACUCU
rnacentral:rRNA from 1 species